rnacentral:rRNA from 1 species
CACGCUGUAAACGUUGAGUAUUAAGUGUCGGAUGUAAAUUCGGUGCUGCAGUUAACACAAUAAAUACUCCGCCUGGGGAGUACGGUCGCAAGACUGAAACUCAAAGGAAUUGACGGGGACUCGCACAAGCGGUGGAGCAUGCGGUUUAAUUCGAUGCAACGCGAAAAACCUUACCAGGUCUUGACAUCCCGGUGACCGGACUAGAGAUAGUUCUUCCCUUCGGGGCACUGGAGACAGGUGG